UACGUAGGUGGCAAGCGUUGUCCGGAUUUACUGGGCGUAAAGAGCGCGCAGGCGGUCAAAUAAGUCGAAUGUGAAAGCCCCCGGCUCAACUGGGGAGGGUCAUUCGAUACUGUUCGACUCGAAGGCAGGAGAGGGAAGCGGAAUUCCCGGUGUAGUGGUGAAAUGCGUAGAUAUCGAGAGGAACACCUGCGGCGAAGGCGGGUUGCUGGGCUGACACUGACGCUGAGGCGCGAAAGCUAGGGGAGCGAACGGG
rnacentral:rRNA from 1 species